GCCAGGCAUGGUGGUGUGUGCCUGUAAUCCCACUACUCAGGAGGCAGAGACAGGAGGAUUGCUUGAGCCCAGGAGUUCGAGGUUGCUGUGAGCCAUAAUUGUGCCACUGCACUCCAGCCUGGGCAACAGAGAAAGACCCCAUCUCUA
rfam:Gorilla gorilla gorilla genomic chromosome, chrX, whole genome shotgun sequence